GACGAACGCUGGCGGCGUGCUUAACACAUGCAAGUCGAACGGAAAGGCCCUGCUUUUAUGGGGUGCUCGAGUGGCGAACGGGUGAGUAACACGUGAGUAACCUGCCCUUGACUUUGGGAUAACUUCAGGAAACUGGGGCUAAUACCGGAUAGGAGCUCCUGCUGCAUGGUGGGGGUUGGAAAGUUUCGGCGGUUGGGGAUGGACUCGCGGCUUAUCAGCUUGUUGGUGGGGUAGUGGCUUACCAAGGCUUUGACGGGUAGCCGGCCUGAGAGGGUGACCGGCGACAUUGGGACUGAGAGACGGCCCAGACUCCUACGGGAGGCAGCAGUGGGGAAUAUUGCACAAUGGGCGGAAGCCUGAUGCAGAAACGCCGCGUGCGGGAUGACGGCCUUCGGGUUGUAAACCGCUUUCGCCUGUGACGAAGCGUGAGUGACGGUAAUGGGUAAAGAAGCACCGGCUAACUACGUG
rnacentral:rRNA from 1 species